ACCACUGACACUUUGUGAUGGGACUUAUAAGGCUUAAACACAGGUCUGUUAAAACACACAGAUUUUAAGGUUAAACAAGCAAACAAUGGAAGUGGAAUCUGAAUUGAAUUUUUAAAAAAACACACAAGGAAGGCUUAGAGCUGUGCUCAUUAACCAGCACCACUGUGGCCACUAGCCAUAUGUGGUUGUUGCACACUUAAAAUGUAGCCCGUGUGACUGAGGAACUGAGUUUUAAAUGUUACUUAAUGUCAAUUAAUUUAAAUGUAAAUUUAAAAAUGGAAGCAGUGUAAAAUAUUUUUCUGGUAGACACAACUUUAUUGCUCUGGUGGGACUUGAUUUUAACUGUUGUAUCAGCUAAAGGGAAGUUAUCCCAGAUGGAAGCCAGAUUUCAGAAGGAAUCUACAGGAAGGAAUGAAAAGCACUAAAAAAGAUGUGACACUCACCGUGAAGGUCUGCAG
rnacentral:lncRNA from 1 species